ACCCGCUUCUCCUUCUGGUUAAUAUCUUUCAAGUUGGGUUUCUGUUACUCCUUUCCCACCUCAUACACCACUGAUUUCCUGAGCUGGGCCCAUGAUGAGUUUGUGUGCUAAGAAGAGCCAGCGUUCAGCACCGUGGAUUCACUGCUGGCACAGAAGUACCGCGCUGAGUCCCCUGCCUGAGUGGAGUUGAUUUCCAGGCUGCAGGGGUCACAUCUCGUCCUUCCUCUUUGAGCAUGUAUCUUGGGGUCUGUGUGAUUCCACCAUCCACGGUGCCUGUGGAAGAAAGGGAGCCGCUCUGGAAACAAGGCCCCGGAGGGCGUCUCAGGGCCGCUGCUGUCGGGGAGAGGCUUAGAUCUGGAGCUCAGCACCUUAUGGGGCAGGAAUUUGCUCCCUGAAGCCACGACUCACCUGCUCCGAUGAGACAGAGGGCCACCCAAUAGAUCACCGAGCUGCCCAUAGUGGGAAGGGCGUCUCCCUCCAGCUCCAAGCCCAGACAAAUGAGGAAAGGAACUUAGCCCUGGGGCUCCCCCUUGGCUUAAUGGGCAGAAUUUGGCACACGGCUAGAAUGGACACUUGGAUAGGAUCCUGGAGAUAUUCAAGACCGUCUCCCCGGUUUGGCAGAUGAGGAGACUGAGAACGGAGCUCUGAAUCACUGGCACCGCCACCUUGUGUCUUCCUUCCCCAGACUCUGCACUUUGGCCCGAUUGUCGGCGCUGCCACAUUCCAGGCCCGAGCUUCACUCUGAUUGGCUCACGGGUUCACCUUCCUCGUCAUGGUAACGUUUGCUCACUGGAGGAGGAGCACACAGAUGCUCUUGUCACACAAGAACGGAGAGCAUGUUUAACCCCCUCGCUGCCAGGUACUGCUCCAGGCCUGCAGCAGCGGAGGAAGAGGACUACCACCGCCUGGAAACCGCCCCCCUUCCUCAGCCUACGCGUUUUAUUGCUUUAGCUCGGCACGUCAAGGGUUGAACAUUAGAGAAACGUUGAUUGUGCCCAAAUAGUUGACUAAGUCCCCUCAGGAAAGACCCCGUGGUCCCAAGUGGCUAUUACCUGUUGUAGAUGAGUUUGCUGUCAGCCCAGAAACCUUAGAAUAAGCAGGGAUGAGAAUGAUCAAGUGAAACUAACUGCUAACAACUGGAAGUUUUGCGGGAGCCCUGGGAUAGCAAGCAGAAAACAAAGACAUGCUUUGCUUUCCUUGAGGGCCAGGUGGCUCCGAGCAGCCCGCAACCCGCCUUCGCCGUUUAGUCUGAAAGCCCCCUCGGCCCACUUCUUCCUUGGAAUAAAAGCAGCCUGACUCCUACCCCGCAUUAAGGUGGUUCUUUAGGACGUUAGCCCGCCGUCUUCUCAGCGUGCUGGCUUUCUGAACAAAGUUGCUCCUCUUUGCCCCGACACCUCUCUUGACUUACUGGCCUGUGGAGCAGCGAGCGGUAAGAGCCUGACUCAUUAACAAACGUUGACAAGCCAGCCAGGAGUCUUGCUGCUCGAGGCCAGCUGGCCCCGGCUGGGAAAUCGUGCUGGGCAAGCCCCCAGCAGCUUCCAGGACCUCUUGUGCUGCAGGUCCUCCUUCAAAAGUCCUUGGAGCAGGGCCGGCCACCCCGGUGCUCAGCAGUUGGAGCAAAGACUUGCCAUUUGGGAGUCGAAGGACUGAAUGCAGAAAGGUCUGUCUCUCCAACUGAAGUCACCCUGCACCCUUUUCAACUAACCCAGGCACCUCAUCCUCCUUAAAAGCUGGAAAAAGCAAGGACCCAACCAUCCGCUGGCUGUGAAGUGGACCGGAGGGGGCCGUAUGAGGGCUUGCUGACCGCACAGUCAUCAGUUAAGCAGCUGGGGUUAAGCUGUGGCUUCGCCACACCUGUUAAAGGCAGCAUCCACAGCAGAGGGCCAAGGGGCGCCCUCUAGGGUGGAGGAAACUAACAGGCAGAGGACUCGAGAGCCUCUGAAUGAUUUAGAGUUUCUCUUCAAAAAAAAAACAAACAAAAAAAGGGCUGAGCUGAGGGAGGAUGGAGACUAGCAGAACGAAACUGCCACCACCAGGAUGAAGACAUGGUGAAGGACCUUGUAAUAAACGACCCCGCAGCCCGGCCGGGAGCUGGAGCUGUCCUGACCGGCUACUUGGCAGACGGCUCCCGACUCGAGUGUUUCGUUUUUCCCCCUCUCCAAGCAAUAAAAGCAGCUGUUUUUCAC